rnacentral:misc_RNA from 1 species
GAUGAAGAACGUAGCGAAAUGCGAUACGUAAUGUGAAUUGCAGAAUUCAGUGAAUCAUCGAAUCUUUGAACGCAUAUUGCGCUCUUUGGUAUUCCGAAGAGCAUGCUUGUUUGAGUAUCAGUAAACACCUCAAAGACUUCAAUUUGUUUUGAAUGGCUUUGGACUUGAGCAAUCCCAACACCAGUCUUUACGAUCGGUGGAGGGUUGCUUGAAAUGCAGGUGCAGCUGGACAUUCUCCUGAGCUAAAAGCAUAUUUAUUUAGUCCCGUCAAACGGAUUAUUACUUUUGCUGCAGCUAACAUAAAGGGAGUUUGACCGUAUUGGCUGACUGGUGCAGGAUUUCACAAGGGUCGGCAACGAUUCUUGUAAAACUCGAUCUCAAAUCAAGUAAGACUACCCGCUGAACUUAAGCAUAUCAAUAAGCGGAGGA